AUCCUCUAACACAAAUCAGGCAUGGGAAAAACACAGGAGAACAACAGAGAAAACAGUGGAAUGCAACACUUUGAUAAUGGCAUCUGGAUUCUUCAUUAAAAAAAACAGAGCUGGAGAUACAACGAAGUCAGCACAACCGCGUGUCUACCCUGAUUUCAGUUCCUGACUACUGAUGAACAGGUUUCUAGGGGACUCCUCAAAGCCAUAGCUUGCGGUUCAGCACAUAGAGUGAGGCAAGCCUCUCUGAAGUGAAGCUGGAAGCUGGAAAGAGACUACCCCAAAACCUACCUCCUGUCCAGCCAGAUCCCAACUUCCAGACACAGGAUUACAGGCUUGAAGGGGACCCAGAGACAUCAUCCAUCCCAACUCCACAAUCCUAUAACUGUACUAUUAAAGUGAUGGCACAGAAUACAAGAUAACAGUGAAAGACGAUAGCAACUACAAUAUAGUAACAUGCCCUAUGAGAAAGGUUAUGCCACCCCAUGGCCAUCCAGGAAGUUCAUGGGCCAAAUCAGGGAUUUGAAUCCAGAAUCUCUAAUCAUUGUGCCACGUCUGUGUGUUCUAAAUCAUACGUCAAUCAUCUUUUGUAGAGAGGGUUUGGAUAUUCCAUACAUGGCCUUUUUGUAAAAAGCAAGAACACCCCAAGCUCAUCCAGAGAUGUGGUGCUAGACAGGAAAAGAUCAGUGGUUCACUGCAAUGUAUGCAACCACCUGCCAUUCACCAGCGAAUGUCAGUCCCUCUGCAGAUGAGCCAUUAGCAAAUGUUAAAAACACAGGUAAAGAAUAAAAGUUUAAUGUCUGUGAAAUGAUCGGGAAGGCUGUACACGACCCAGCUUAUGGUAUAUAAUUCCAAGCGAUAAAAAGAUAAGCGCCACAGAGUAUUUAUGGUUACAUGUGUAUGUGUGUGUGGGAAGGUAAUACUUCUAAAAUCUGUCGUGUCUAAACUAAAUCAGAAAAACCAGGUUUGUAUUUGAGCACCACCAACAUGCAUAGCAGAAGUUGUACUGAAUAAAUGAGAACCACAGAUGCUAUCUAUUCAUAACAGUCCAGAGGAUCUUCCUGAUACUAAAUAAACCACAACUGUUGUUUAAUCAACCUGUGACUUUAAGAAGGGGAGGUUUAGAUCCAACAAAAGGUGCAUGCUUGUCUACUAUGAGAAUACCAAAUAUAGAGACUUAUGCAUGUGAAAGAACACAGACAUGAAGGUAUACAAGUAUGUGUGGAUGCACACACUUGUGUACAUGUGCACACGCACGCACACACGUCUUGGUGUAUUUGAGCAUGCUUCCGUGACUGUGAACAUUCAACCUGUUUAGUUAGUCCAUGUCAAUAUUCACGCUAAUUUUGAUACUGACCGAUCGCCGACAACAAUCCCAUCCAAGUGGCAGUUCUUAUGUACUUAAUGUACUUAUGUACAUAA